UGUCCCGCAAUAGGAAAAGAGACACCUUGGUGGUGGUGGUGUUCUCGUAUCAGUCAAGGGCACAGCAGAUGGCAGCCCUUUGUUCACCUAGCUUGAUGCCAGGCUUGGGGACCAGAACUGUUUUAUGCCUGGGACACAUAA